rnacentral:lncRNA from 1 species
GGGAAGGUUAGAAAGAGUACUUUUAAUCAGGGUCAGUCUUCUUCCUUUGGAAAUUAAUUUUUUCUUCCAUGUCGCUAAUCUGUUAUUAAACAUAUCCACCAUCGGUUCCCAGCACCUGUUGUCAUUAUGCUUGGUGCCAGCGGAACCCUGAGGCAAGUAAUGGGCAGCUGAGUUUGUUUACGGCCAAAGACCAGAUUAAAAUUUUCACUUGGAUUGCAGUUUCCCAGUUCAACCAUAUCAGAUUUGUGGAGAUUAAUUUUCAGCCCAAAAACUGCUUGAAAACAUAGCAAGAUACAUUUCAGAAAGAGGAGGGAUCGGGUGUCAGGUUGGCAGAAGAUUAGCAUGUCGUCAGCGAGAAACAGGUGAGAAAUUUCAGUCUUUUUCUCUCUGUUUCCUACGGUGAUCCCUUUAUUCAGUUGCAGAACUUUGACUUUCUCUAGGAGUUUAUCUAGAG